CCUACGGGAGGCAGCAGUGAGGAAUAUUGGUCAAUGGGCGAGAGCCUGAACCAGCCAAGUAGCGUGAAGGAUGACCGCCCUAUGGGUUGUAAACUUCUUUUAUAUGGGAAUAAAGGGUGCCACGUGUGGCAUUUUGUAUGUACCAUAUGAAUAAGGAUCGGCUAACUCCGUGCCAGCAGCCGCGGUAAUACGGAGGAUCCGAGCGUUAUCCGGAUUUAUUGGGUUUAAAGGGAGCGUAGGUGGACAUGUAAGUCAGUUGUGAAAGUUUGCGGCUCAACCGUAAAAUUGCAGUUGAAACUGCGUGUCUUGAGUACAGUAGAGGUGGGCGGAAUUCGUGGUGUAGCGGUGAAAUGCUUAGAUAUCACGAAGAACUCCGAUUGCGAAGGCAGCUCACUGGACUGCAACUGACACUGAUGCUCGAAAG
rnacentral:rRNA from 1 species